CGGGUUCUCGUACGAUCACUGAAGUUAAGCAACGUUGAGGGUGGUCAGUACCUAGAUGGGUGACCGUUUGCGAAUGCCAAGUGCUGUAA